AGAGUUUGAUCCUGGCUCAGGACGAACGCUGGCGGCGUGCCUAAUACAUGCAAGUCGAACGCACUCUCGUUAGAUUGAAGAAGCUUGCUUCUGAUUGGUAACAUUUGAGUGAGUGGCGGACGGGUGAGUAACACGUGGGUAACCUGCCCUAAAGUGGGGGAUAACAUUUGGAAACAGAUGCUAAUACCGCAUAAAACCUAGCACCGCAUGGUGCAAGGUUGAAAGAUGGUUUCGGCUAUCACUUUAGGAUGGACCCGCGGUGCAUUAGUUAGUUGGUGAGGUAAAGGCUCACCAAGACCGUGAUGCAUAGCCGACCUGAGAGGGUAAUCGGCCACACUGGGACUGAGACACGGCCCAGACUCCUACGGGAGGCAGCAGUAGGGAAUCUUCCACAAUGGACGAAAGUCUGAUGGAGCAACGCCGCGUGAGUGAAGAAGGUUUUCGGAUCGUAAAACUCUGUUGUUGGAGAAGAACGUAUUUGAUAGUAACUGAUCAGGUAGUGACGGUAUCCAACCAGAAAGCCACGGCUAACUACGUGCCAGCAGCCGCGGUAAUACGUAGGUGGCAAGCGUUGUCCGGAUUUAUUGGGCGUAAAGCGAGCGCAGGCGGUUUCUUAAGUCUGAUGUGAAAGCCUUCGGCUCAACCGAAGAAGUGCAUCGGAAACUGGGGAACUUGAGUGCAGAAGAGGACAGUGGAACUCCAUGUGUAGCGGUG
rnacentral:rRNA from 1 species